rnacentral:misc_RNA from 1 species
AAGUCGUAACAAGGUUUCCGUAGGUGAACCUGCGGAAGGAUCAUUAUUGAGUUCCUUUGGAGGAGUUUCUUUCAGAACAGGCUUUGCUUAUUCUGGGGGUUGCUCUUCCAGCCUUCUCUCAUCUCUCAUGUUAUUACUCUCUUAGUUGCUUUGGCAGAUUGAUCAAAGGUUUUAGUUAUUUUUUUUUUUGAUUAAGAUCCCACAGUCUCUGCCAGAGGAUACAAACUCUAGACACUUUUGUUUUUAUUAACAAUUGGUACUAUCUAAGUCAGAUAUAGUUAUUUCUUUAAUAAGAUAUAAAACUUUCAACAACGGAUCUCUUGGUUCUG